UACGAGAGGUCCAAACGUUAUUCGGAAUUACUGGGCUUACAGAGUUCGUAGGCGGCUCUACAAGUGAGGUGUGAAAGCCCUCGGCUCAACCGAGGGACUGCGCUUCAAACUGUAGAACUAGAGGGAGAUAGAGGUGAGCAGAACUGAUGGUGGAGCGGUGAAAUGCGUUGAUAUCAUCAGGAAUACCGGAGGCGAAGGCGGCUCACUGGGUCUCUUCUGACGCUGAGGAACGAAAGCUAGGGGAGCAAACGGG
rnacentral:rRNA from 1 species